rnacentral:rRNA from 1 species
AUUGAACGCUGGCGGCAUGCCUUACACAUGCAAGUCGAACGGUAACGCGGGGCAACCUGGCGACGAGUGGCGAACGGGUGAGUAAUGCAUCGGAACGUGCCCAGUUGUGGGGGAUAACUGCUCGAAAGAGCAGCUAAUACCGCAUACGACCUGAGGGUGAAAGCGGGGGAUCGCAAGACCUCGCGCAAUUGGAGCGGCCGACGUCGGAUUAGCUAGUUGGUGGGGUAAAGGCCCACCAAGGCAACGAUCCGUAGCUGGUCUGAGAGGACGACCAGCCACACUGGGACUGAGACACGGCCCAGACUCCUACGGGAGGCAGCAGUGGGGAAUUUUGGACAAUGGACGCAAGUCUGAUCCAGCCAUGCCGCGUGCGGGAAGAAGGCCUUCGGGUUGUAAACCGCUUUUGUCAGGGAAGAAAUCUUCUGGGUUAAUACCUCGGGAGGAUGACGGUACCUGAAGAAUAAGCACCGGCUAACUACGUGCCAGCCGCCGCCGUAAUAC